AUGAUGCUGAAUGCAAUCACAGGUGAGGGCCACCCCGACCAGAGCUCUGCGCUACCCAAGACACAAGAGCCGCUCCAAACACAACCGCCCGGCACCAAGCGCUGUGAGGCGGCAGCGCCACCGCUGCCAGCCCCGCCCACCGCGAAGAGAAGGAGGAGAAAGAAGGGGAGGAAGGGGAAGAAGGGGCAGGAGGGAAGCGGGGAGGAGAGCUGCCUCCGCCGGGAGCGGCAUGGCGGACGGAAGAGGUGGAACGUCAGCGCCGCAGGAGGCGGUCGGAGCUGCGUGCUGCUUUGUUUGGGUGAUGCUGGGUGGGACGCCUACGCAGCGAGACGGCACCCUCACGUAGUGCGUGGAUCGCUCUCGAUGUGGACUGACCAGGCCAGGCCUCCCCGAGGCGGCCGAGCACCCUCGGGUGCUGAGGAUAGGCCGUGCCCCCUUAGGUCGUGUUUGUACCUAAAUCGACUCCUCCUAGGAGGGCUCAGUGAUGAGUCAGUUACACUUCAGCCCCUCUUUGCACCCCAUUAAAGCGUUCAGUGGGAGAAAUCUGGUUGGAGGAGAAACUUCUAGAGCAGCACAGCCAUCACAGCGCGGGCUGCUUUAUCUUGUGACAUCAGGGAGCAUAUAAACAAGAGUGGGAAUGGCUGUGGGUGGGUAGUGACAGGACAAGGGGAAAUGAUUUUAAACUGAGGCAGGGGAGGUUCGGGUUAGAUAUUAGGAGGAAAUUGUUCACACAGAGGGUGGUGAUGCACUGGAACAGGUUGCCCAAGGAGGCUGUGGAUGCCCCAUCCCUGGAGGCAUUCAAGGCCAGGCUGGAUGUGGCUCUGGGCAGCCUGGUCUGGUGGUUGGUGACCCUGCACAUAGCAGGGGAUUGAAACUGGAUUCACUGCGGUUCUUUUCAACCCAGGCUGUUCUGAUUCUAUGAUCAGUUUUUAUCUUCCUUCAGCCUGCGUUAGGCUUUUCUGCAGGAAAGUGGUGCCUGUGUCCCCACACACAGCCUGUGUGACAUCAGCAUGUCCUGUUGGUACUGUGCUUUGUUACAGUUGUGAUGUGAAUAUUCAUAGUUGUCGUCUCAGGUAAAGAAAGAUGACUUGUGUAACAAACACAUCUAACACUGCAGGGCUUUUUUUUUCCCCCGGACUUCAGUUUAUUUUCCUCCUCUUUCUUCUUUACCUUCUUGAUGUAGGAGAGAAGUCAGUGGCUUACAGGAGCUUCAUUUUAAGUGUCCCUUUAACCUUUAAGCACUGAAAUUUGCUCCUGAUAUCAUCACUGCUCUGUCACCUGCAGUUUGUAACUGCUUUUUGGUUUUGUUGUACUGUUUCCCCAGAUACUGCUCCUACUUUCAAGGUUUCUUUUGCUGUAGAAAUCCUUGACCUACCUUUUCCAUGUUCUCUUUUUUCUGCCCUGUUACCUCCACAGCUUACCAGAUCUUAUAGACCAGUCUGACACUCUAGAACAGCAGGAGAAACUCCUGUGUUUUGCUGGAUUUCCAGCUGUUUUGUGCUCAGUUAGCUUGUGGGAAGGCUGAUGAGAGGGUGAGCUGACAGAGAACGUGGCAGAGGGGAAAAGCUGAGAAAAGAGAGAUAUCCCUAUAGACAACACUGAGCCAUGAGAUCAACUUAGCUGUCCAAGGAGCCAUAACAUUGCCUGAUAAUUGCACCACGGCCACAGCACAGUUUGCAUUACAUUUCUGAAGUACCCAGGCAGUUACAAUACAGACAGGCUGCUUGGUACUGGUCUGCACAUCUAUGACCAGCAGGCCAAUGUUCUCUACUCUUUUUUCUUUGCGUGUGUCUGAAAUAAAAGGUCAAUUAAUAACUUUGUUAUUAGUCUU
rnacentral:lncRNA from 1 species